GCCGGCGCCUCACCUUGGUUCACCAGGCGCAGGGCGUGCGUGAAGGAGGGGUCCAGGGAGUCCUUCUCCGCCAUCAGCUCGGGCAGGUAGCAAUCUGGAACACUCCUGACUGGCUCUUCAUCCCUCCCUGAUCUGAGUUGGCAGUCAGUCCACCAGCAGCUGUGGAGGAGGGCUAUGCACUGGGAAACUGACAGCAAGGGCACUGAAUCUUCUGCUCCAGACCCUCCUUCUCCGAGAACCUUCCAAGAAGGCAGGUGCCAAACGCUCAUAAUUUAACUUUGAAAAGGAGGUUUGUGUUAACAGGAAGAAACACAGAACAAAACAAUUGAUUGAAGACCUAUGAGGAUAAAAUUUCAAGGAAAGAAAAAUAUGGCCAAAUAACCCACGCUUGUUUUAAUGUCUAUAUAAUCAACAUCUAGUAGAUGAUAUUUCUGAAAUAGUAUAAAAUUAUAUUUCAUUAGGUAGUCAUGUCAAUUGAACAGAGUCUUGUCACAGAAUGAGUUCUCUGCAAUCUACAAUUAAUUAAGCAAAGAAACAAACUGCUUGAAGAUCUGUUGAAGGGUAUCAACACCAUUAUUUUUCCAAUACAAAGUGCUUUCCCAUCCUGCAUCUCAUCCCUCUUUUUCCCCCUCUAUGGUACAUGGCUGCGAAGAAAUUUUUAAAAUAGGCAGAGUCCUCAUAAUACAAUUUUAGUUAUCUCUGGAAUGUGUCUCAAAUCCCUGAAUACGGUCUUCU
rnacentral:lncRNA from 1 species